rnacentral:misc_RNA from 1 species
AGGUGGAGCAGGCCUCGCGCUUGCACCUCCCUCCCUUUGCAUACCGUCAACCGUUGCUCGAGCCGGUGGCCCCCGGGCCCCGGCGAGAGACCACAACCACUCUUUUUUAGAUUGUCUGAGUAAACAUACAAUAGAAUAAAACUUUCAACAACGGAUCUCUUGGUUCC